GGGCCCUGUGUGGCUCAUGCCGCUUUUAUUCCGGAGUCUUGCUUUGGCAUUUGUGUAAGGUAUAGUCGGAGCCUUGUCACCGGCAAGUAUUGCAUCAUCCGUUUGUAUCCUUAGAGGCUCUGUAGACACAAUGUGUGUGGUGUACAUAUGUAUUUUGGGUAAGUAAUGGUACGGUUCGGAAUCAUGAUCCACGUUGGUAAAUGUUGUAAGUAUUGGGUAUCAUAUGAUGGUAAUGAUAAAAAGUAGAAAUGAAUUCAAGUUGUAAGUUUAUGCUUAAGUUAUAAAUGGCUAUUUCACAGGAAUAAUGUAUAUUGAAAUCACGGGGUAACGCGUGAGAUAGGAAAGGCAAUUCCAGGUUCGGUUGACUGGGGUCCUCCGGUUGAGCGCCGGUCGCGUCCCUCGAUUUUGGGGCGUGACGGCAAUGGGAUGAAAAGCUAAUUUCAGAAAUUGGCACUCUUAGAAAUAUUAUAUAACUUAAUUGUCUUUGCCUAGGUCCUAAGUAGCUCUCCGAAGCAAUUCUUUAGCUCUUCAAUUAUGUCAUGUCGAAUUGCAUUCUUUUUUGCUAGGUCACUAUUUCUAGGGAUGACAUUGUCAUUCUUGACUGUGCUGGUUGGAGACAUAGAUGAAAGGAUGAAUAUAUUGUUGCGCUUGCAUAUAAACUAAUAUCAACAUAAGCGACAUAAUUACUAUCCGAAAUGUGUUGUUGAAUAUAUGUUGGUCCUCUGUAUUUUGACAUAUUAAAUUAGUACUAAUUGUCUUGAGAACACCUUAUUAUGACAAAGAGAAGUUAUAGGAAUGAUUAACUAUGCUUUUUUUAAUUACCCCAAAAAUAAAUAACAACUUUUCGUAUAUGGAAUUUGCUACUUUUAGUUUGGGAUAACCAUUCAAGGAACUUUUUUUUUUUCUCUUAGUCUUUAGUUCUUUUAUAUGUCACUUUCUCUAAUUUCUAAUUAUGCACUUUUGCACAAUUUUGUUUUGCCAACGGAGAUUUAUGUAUCGAGUUCAGCGUGAGAACAUUUCGUUGUAUUUAAGAUAGGUAUGAUAUUAAUUAAUAUUUUUUACUAUCUAUAGAUAUUUUAUUCAUCUAAUUGCUACUGAUGGAAUAUUUGUCCGAUUUUUCUAAAUAUAACUUUUUUACCGGAUUCAACUCUUUGGUGCUCUAAUUUGAAAAGGACUUUAGCGACACCAAAAACUACAAACAUUCUUCACAAGCAAGGUAAUACCCUCAUUCACUUUACCUUUUUUUUCUCCAAAUGCCAGUAUUCAAUUAAUCACAUAUUGUCUUGUAUGAAAAAAAAAACAGUUGUGACGUAGAGAGUUGCAUUAUGAAAUGCUAUAUGUGAAUCUUUUCUUUGAAACUCAGUUAGAGUUGAACAAAGUCAACAAAACUUCAUAGUAGAGUUGUCAAAUUGGAUGUAGAUAUGUAUAUCGUAGAGGCCAGGCGUGUUGCCUCUUAGGACAUUGUAUACUCAGCUAACAGUUGCUCCUUCAAGGUAAGCUACCAAAUCAUGGUUAGAUUCAAAAUUCUAUAAUAUAAUUGCAUUUACUUAAUGACUUGCUACCAUACUUUCUUAAGGAGAGGAUUGGUAACUGUUCGUGUUACGAACAGUGUAGGGACUGAGGAAUUCGUGUAAAAUUUAAAUAAUGGUAUGGCUGUUGCUCUUUCUCAAUAGAGUGUCUUUUUUUUAAAUUUUUUACCUUUGUUCUCGAUAUGAGUAUACUACUAAAUGCUACCAGAUAACGAAAUAGUGCAUUUGGGAUGCUGAAAACUAUUUCCAUCUCUCUUUGGGAUUCAUUUAUUCUAGAAAAAUUACGCCAGGCUAAGAAGAAAAUUAUUUAUAAAGAAAGAGUUGUAAGUAUUUUAUUAUUAAGUUUUGCGCUGAAUACGCCACUUAAAUCCCAAAGCAUCUCCAUAUUGGAAAUAUAGUUUCUCAUUUGAAUCAUUUCUCAGAAUCAAGUUACUCCGAAGAUAGUCGAGACAUAAAUUUAGUUGAACAAAUAAGUGAAGUGGUAAGAACUACCAACCUUGAGAAACUAUUUUAACUUUUCUCAUGAAAUCGAACCUUUGCAAAGCCUGCAAGUGAAUCUGCUUCAAGGAAAUAAGUAGUUUCUUUUAUAAUUUGUCUCUACAAGGUCUUAACUUUAUUAGCUGAUUAAAAAAUGCUGAGCCUAUGACUUGGUAUAAAUGUGAUCAUGAGCUAUUAUUGAAAUAUCGUGUACUCGCUCUACCAUUUGAGGUGCGAAAACAAUCAAGCUAUAAUACUUAGGAUUAUCAUGCUAUGAAAGUGCUACUACCUUUCAGAUUUGUUGCAUCAGAAGAGCUAAUCCUCAAAAUUAUUGGACAGUUGGAGCGGGAAAAAGGUUCUUGAACUUCCAUUGGAUACUAUCUUUAUGUCGCAAAGAAUAUUUGUGAGAUAGAAUGUUUUUACUGGGAAAAUAGGUUAUGAGGAAUUUAAUUAACAAUCACGAGAAGGGAAAUGUACGAUUGACCAUUAGAACUAUGAUAAGAAAAGAGCCUAAUUAAAUUAGGAAGACCAUUAGUACAUUGCUAUUUAAAAUGUUGGAUUUAAUAAGGUUAAUGAACGACUUUAUAUAUAAUAUGCCUCUUCCCUCACCAUUGUUUAUAUCUCUUAUGCAAUCAUUUGUUUUGCUUUCAGGUGUAUGGAGGAUUGACAACACAUUUGAUAUGCUUCACUUGGUUGGAGUAUCAAGUUUGGUGUCAUUCUUCUGCAUAGCCUCUCAAAAAUCUGUAAUAAACAACUUCUCCUAUGUUGUUCUGUUCACUAUGCUAUUGUUUCGAGUAUAACAAGAGUAACUUCUGAGCUGGCCAAUGUAGCUGAUACUUAAAAGGGAACGAUGGGUCAAAAUGUGCUUGUGAUGUGCUUUUAGACACAGAUUUCCUCUAUUUUGUGGGUGUUGCAUCAAUAAUAUCUUUGUUGUAAUAGAUACAUGGAAGUAGUAGAGUAGUAGAAUGUUUGGAUCAUCAAGAAAAAUCACAAUACAUAAUACGUUGGGCCUGUG